rnacentral:rRNA from 1 species
GACGGACGCUGGCGGCGUGCUUAACACAUGCAAGUCGAACGGUAAGGCCCUUCGGGGUACACGAGUGGCGAACGGGUGAGUAACACGUGGGUGAUCUGCCCUGCACUUCGGGAUAAGCCUGGGAAACUGGGUCUAAUACCGGAUAGGACUCCUGGCUUCAUGGUUGGGGGUGGAAAGCUUUUGCGGUGUGGGAUGGGCCCGCGGCCUAUCAGCUUGUUGGUGGGGUAAUGGCCUACCAAGGCGACGACGGGUAGCCGGCCUGAGAGGGUGACCGGUCACAAUGGGACUGAGAUACGGCCCAGACUCCUACGGAAGGCAGCAGUGGGGAAUAUUGCACAAUGGGCGCAAGCCUGAUGCAGCGACGCCGCGUGAGGGAUGACGGCCUUCGGGUUGUAAACCUCUUUCAGCUAUGACGAAGCGCAAGUGACGGUAGUAGCAGAAGAAGGACCGGCCAACUACAUGCCAGCCGCCGCAGUAA